GUGACAAAGUUCAACGGCCGCGGUACCCUAACCGUGCGAAGGUAGCAUAAUCACUUGUUCUUUAAAUAAGGACUAGUAUCAACGGCAUCACGAGGGCUAUACUGUCUCCUUUCUCUAAUCAGUGAAACUGAUCUCCCCGUGAAGAAGCGGGGAUCUAAUUAUUAGACGAGAAGACCCCAUGGAGCUUCAAGCUCAAUAGCAACUUAUUAUUCUACAACUUUUUAACCAUCAAGUUAUGCUAAUUAGCUUUAGGUUGGGGUGACCGCGGAGCACAACACAGCCUCCACGAUGUAAAGGAUUUCCUUUAUCUAAGAACGACAGUUCAAAGAACCCUAAAAAUGUCAUAAAAUGAUCCGAACUUCGAUCAACGGACCAAGUUACCCUGGGGAUAACAGCGCAAUCCAUUUCAAGAGCCCCUAUCGACAAAUGGGUUUACGACCUCGAUGUUGGAUCAGGGUGUCCUAGUGGUGCAGCCGCUACUAAAGGUUCGUUUGUUCAACGAUUAAAACCCUACGUGAUCUGANUCCAAACCGGA
rnacentral:rRNA from 1 species